UCAGGUAUGGAGUAGUGGGAACACGGCCUCUUGUAUUAUUGUGUAUGUCUGCGUCAGAGGCGGUCCAGGGUUCGGAUCCCUGUGUCUGAA